UGGGGAAUAUUGGGCAAUGGGCGGAAGCCUGACCCAGCCAUGCCGCGUGUCGGAAGAAGGCCUUCUGGGUUGUAAACGACUUUUACCAGGGAAGAAAAGGUAGCCUGCGGGCUGUUUUGCCGGUACCUGGGGAAUAAGCACCGGCUAACACCGUGCCAGCAGCCGCGGUAAUACGGAGGGUGCGAGCGUUGUCCGGAUUUAUUGGGUUUAAAGGGUGCGUAGGCGGCCUGGUAAGUCGGCGUUGAAAGACAGUGGCUCAACCAUUGAGACGGCACCGAUACUGCCAGGCUAGAGAGGCGACGAGGUUAGCGGAAUUGGUGGAGUAGCGGUGAAAUGCAUAGAUACCACCAGGAACCCCGAUAGCGAAGGCAGCUAACUGGUCGUCAUCUGACGCUGAGGCACGAAAGCGUGGGGAGCAAACAGGAUUAGAUAC
rnacentral:rRNA from 1 species